rnacentral:piRNA from 1 species
AACUGGAAAUUCGUGCAACUGGUGC